GAAACCGGGAUUAAAACCUCAUGACACCUCUUAAAGACAUCUUUGAGAGGUCAAAGAUUUAUCGGCAAAGGAUGGGCCUGCGUCUGAUUAGCUAGUUGGUGGGGUAACGGCCUACCAAGGCGACGAUCAGUAGCCGACCUGAGAGGGUGAUCGGCCACAUUGGAACUGAGACACGGUCCAAACUCCUACGGGAGGCAGCAGUGGGGAAUAUUGCACAAUGGGGGAAACCCUGAUGCAGCAACGCCGCGUGAAGGAAGAAGGCCUUUGGGUCGUAAACUUCUGUUCUAAGGGAAGAUAAUGACGGUACCUUAGGAGCAAGUCCCGGCUAACUACGUGCCAGCAGCCGCGGUAAUACGUAGGGGGCAAGCGUUAUCCGGAAUUAUUGGGCGUAAAGAGUACGUAGGUGGUUACCUAAGCACGAGGUAUAAGGCAAUGGCUUAACCAUUGUUCGCCUUGUGAACUGGGCUACUUGAGUGCAGGAGAGGAAAGCGGAAUUCCUAGUGUAGCGGUGAAAUGCGUAGAUAUUAGGAGGAACACCAGUGGCGAAGGCGGCUUUCUGGACUGUAACUGACACUGAGGUACGAAAGCGUGGGGAGCAAACAGGAUUAGAUACCCUGGUAGUCCACGCCGUAAACGAAGAGCACUAGGUGUCGGGGUCGCAAGACUUCGGUGCC
rnacentral:rRNA from 1 species